rnacentral:piRNA from 1 species
UGUAAAGACCAACGAUAAGGAGUCACUUCC